rnacentral:rRNA from 1 species
GUGCGUAGGCGGUCCUAUAAGUAUGGUGUGAAAUCUCCCGGCUUAACUGGGAGGGUGCGCUAUAGACUGUGGGACUAGAGGGUGGGAGAGGAAAGUGGAAUUCCUGGUGUAGCGGUGAAAUGCGUAGAUAUCAGGACGAACACCGGUGGUGUAAACGGCUUUCUGGACCAUUUCUGACGCUGAGGCACGAAAGCGUGGGUAGCAAACAGGAUUAGAUACCCUGGUAGUCCACGCCCUAAACGAUGCAUAUUUGGUGUGGGCCAUUCAUUUGGUCUGUGCCGGAGCUAACGCGUUAAAUAUGCCGCCUGGGGAGUACAGUCGCAAGGCUGAAACUCAAAGGAAUUGACGGGGGCCCGCACAAGCGGUGGAGCAUGUGGUUUAAUUCGACGCAACGCGAAGAACCUUACCAGCUCUUGACAUGCCCGGUAUGGGUGGGAGAGAUCUCAUUCUUCAGUUCGGCUGGCCGGGACACAGGUGCUGCAUGGCUGUCGUCAGCUCGUGUCGUGAGAUGUUGGGUUAAGUCCCGCAACGAGCGCAACCCUCAUCUGCAGUU